GUGUAUUUGGAAAUAUCCCUAAUACAGGAUCACUUGGAUCCGUCGGCGAUGACGAGCGCGAAAGAAUGCGAAAAGUCCUCACGGAAUGCUCUAAUUAUGAGAUAAUCUCAUGGAUACUCCCUGGACUUAAGCAUAUCAUUAAGGGAAGGAAAAGAAACUAACUAGGAUUCCGUUAGUAGUGGCGAAUGAACACGGAAGAGCUCCAAUGGUAAAGCCUAAGUGCUGUUGUAAUGUAGCCUCCGAAAACAUUCGGAAAGGAUGACCACAGUGGGUGAUGUCCCUAGGGGCCCCGUCCC
rnacentral:ncRNA from 1 species